rnacentral:rRNA from 1 species
CGUAGGAGACGAGCGUUAUCCGGAUUUACUGGGCGUAAAGCGUGUGCAGGCGGUUCGGCAAGUUGGAUGUGAAAUCUCCCGGCUCAACGGGGAGGGGUCGUUCAAAACUACCGAACUUGAGGUCAUCAGAGGAAGGUGGAAUUCCGGGUGUAGUGGUGAAAUGCGUAGAUAUCCGGAGGAACACCAGUGGCGAAGGCGGCCUUCUGGGAUGAUCCUGACGCUCAGACACGAAAGCUAGGGGGAGCGAACGGGAUUAGAGACCCCGGUAGUCCUAGCUGUAAACGAUGUAGACUUGGCGUCGGAGGGUUCAAAACCUUCGGUGUCGUAGCUAACGCGAUAAGUCUACCGCCUGGGGACUACGGCCGCAAGGUUA